UACGAAGGGGGCUAGCGUUGCUCGGAAUCACUGGGCGUAAAGCGCACGUAGGCGGACUCUUAAGUCGGUGGUGAAAUCCUGGAGCUCAACUCCAGAACUGCCUUCGAUGCUGAGAGUCUUGAGUCCGGGAGAGGUGAGUGGAACUGCGAGUGUAGAGGUGAAAUUCGUAGAUAUUCGCAAGAACACCAGUGGCGAAGGCGGCUCACUGGCCCGGUACUGACGCUGAGGUGCGAAAGCGUGGGGAGCAAACAGG
rnacentral:rRNA from 1 species